GGAGGAAGUGAAGCCUGGGUUGAAUAUGACACAUGGAGUCAUGCACAGUUGUAUUUUUCAGAGCACAGUCAGCAACAUCACCAACAUGGGGCCGUAUGGCACAGGAGACAGAAUGGGUACCAGCUGGAAAGCUUGGCACACUGCCCAAAGCAGCCCUCCUCUGGUGCACACAAUGGGCUGGAUGACCUGCAUUCAUCUUUAAAAUUAGGUGGAGACAGGUAGAUACGUAAUAACUGCAAGUGCGGAGCACAGCCCUGAGGACAUUUUAGGUCCUCAAUAAUCAACAUUACGUCCUUUGAGUGACCAGACUCGUCAAUGUCACCAAGUGCAUCAUGACAGUGUUGAGUCUAGGAAUGACAGCAGAGCUACUUGAACUUUUUGUGCCUCACUUUUUCGCACAUGUAGGAUGAAGUGUUUCAGAACUUUCAAAACAUCUGGGAACCUCCAGAUGCUGUAAAAUCACCACCACCACCAGCAGCAGCAGCAGCAGCAACAACAACAAUAGCAACAGCAGCAGCAACAACAAUAGCAACAGCAACAACAACAACAACAGCAGCAGCAACAACAACAAAAACAACAAUUCCUAGACUGAAGGGGAAGCAAUACUUUGGCCACAUGGAUAAUUAACUCCUCAUCUUU
ensembl:lincRNA Gm12729 predicted gene 12729